rnacentral:rRNA from 1 species
AUGCACGCUGGCGGCGUGCCUCAUCCCUGCCAGUCGAGCGCACGGACGAGAAGCUUGCUUCUCUGAUGUUAGCGGCGGACGGGUGAGUAACACGUGGAUAACCUACCUAUAAGACUGGGAUAACUUCGGGAAACCGGAGCUAAUACCGGAUAAUAUUUUGAACCGCAUGGUUCAAAAGUGAAAGACGGUCUUGCUGUCACUUAUAGAUGGAUCCGCGCUGCAUUAGCUAGUUGGUAAGGUAACGGCUUACCAAGGCAACGAUGCAUAGCCGACCUGAGAGGGUGAUCGGCCACACUGGAACUGAGACACGGUCCAGACUCCUACGGGAGGCAGCAGUAGGGAAUCUUCCGCAAUGGGCGAAAGCCUGACGGAGCAACGCCGCGUGAGUGAUGAAGGUCUUCGGAUCGUAAAACUCUGUUAUUAGGGAAGAACAUAUGUGUAAGUAACUGUGCACAUCUUGACGGUACCUAAUCAGAAAGCCACGGCUAACUACGUG